ACUCGAUGGGGUGGGGAAAAAAGUGAUGAUAUUUUUAAAUCGCCAUCAAAAAGGUGUUUUGGGACACAAAGCCAUCUCAGAUUUUUGGUACUAUAUUUUAUUUUUUUGUUGAGGUCCUUUCAGCUGCAUUUCCCAGAGCGACCGCUAAACGGCGGCAUUGCACCUAAAAUCCUCGCCGUAUACUGCUUUGUUAUACGUCCAGGUUUGACCCACUCAAGUGUAGUUUGCCAACCUUUAUUGAGCCCAGACACAUAUUUUAUAUUCAAUUAAAUGUCACAAAAAGGGGACACACUUGUUAACUAUGUGUGUAUGCUGUUCGUUUCACCACCUAUGUACAUGUCAGCGAUGUACAGUGAUGUACUCUUCCACUAGAUGGCAGAAGGUAAAUUAACCUGCGUCCACAUUGUUACUUUUGUUCGUUUGAUGGUAGAUGCCCUUUUUUUCUGCGUGCAAAAUAUGUGCCUUAGCAUGUUACAUUCAUACCAGCCAAAUGUGCAUGUAUGCAAUUUUUUCAUCAUCGUACAAAUUCGUUCAACCACGUUUCCUGGAUAUUCGUGUGCAUCCUGCGAGACAACAUCCACUUGCAGUUCUAUUCUCUGCAUGAAGUCUCUCUUCCCCUCCUUCAGAUUUGGUCUUGAACCUGCAGCUGGGCCCUUCUUUCUCUCUCUCUCUCUCUCUUUGAGAAGUUGUAAUUUCAGAUUCUGUAAAUACUUUACAGGAAAUGAUUGUGGUAAACCACGGAAAUGACAUCUCUCCAGUGCUUUUCUCUGCCGCUGUCUGUGCACGCUCUGCUUCUGCUACAUGCUCAGCGACACGGCGUCUCCUUGUAGACAAGCUCCUUUUGUUGACGCUCAAAGUCUUCUUUGCCCUGCAAGUGGAGGACAGUCUCCACAUGUUCUCGACAGUCCUGUUCCUCGUGCCAACCGAUCAUCUCCUUCCAGCUGCUCCAGUCUUUUCCAGAAAGUCUUCAGUUUGUGACAACCUCGACCAACGACAUUUCCGGAAUGGCAUGGAAUGAACUACUUUUGGUGUACACGCCAAACACAGGAAUCAAGCUCCUCUAGAAGAUUCCAAAAUAGAUGAGAAAUAUCCGCUUGUGUCGCAUCAAUGAGAAAAAAAGAGGGACUUCUCUUGCGGUUAAGCAGCCAUCCGCAGCCGUGAAGACGGAGUCGCUCGCCGGCUGUUGCGCUGCAAGAUUCGGACUAAGCCUUUUUCUCGGUCAAGAUGAGUUUGACUGUGGUCCAUAAUCUUUGUCGAUCAUCUUCAACUUCCCCUCGUGAAUGAUUAAACAGGGGUGUGGAGACUUCUUCCGCCUACGCGAUUGUCGAGACCUCGAGCGGCUUGAUGACAUACGCGGGCGCCCACGCGCCGCCGUUGAUGAAAACGGGAAGUGACACGCUAAUGAUUGCAAAACGAAAUCGAGUUGGAGCCCGCCUCAGGAUAGCGCCGCGAUGAUGGACGUGCGUGCAGCCCGCUUGGAGAUGACGCGCGUCACCUGCUCCACGCGCGCGGAAAUGAACGGACGGCUAACGAGGCCUGUUUCGAAUCAAUAAGACGGGGGGGAGAUGGACGGGGGACGAGAGCGCCACCUCGUUGCCGGCCCACCUGCAGCCUUGCAAGAAGGCGACGUUAAGACCUGGUUGGAGGCUUUGCUGCAUGUUUAUCUGAUCACUUUUCCCCCUGCCGGGACUGGAAUCGCUUGCCGUGUUCACUUUAUUAUUAUUUUUUUCCCAUUAGGCCUCACUGGUGGAAGUGCUGCGGCUCAGGAAGUCGGAGUGUCAUGGAGCUAACGCGCUGCCUGGCCGCUGAACCGCGAAGAAAGAUCCUCGUGUGGAUUUGGACCACAUUUAUGAUGGGAAGCCUGUAAUUAUGCGGGCAUCCGCCAGAUAGCUUAACAGCGCCGACGAUCAACCGCGAGGGCUGCAACGCUCAGGUUUCAUUUUUUCAUUUUUUUCCUCGACAGGUCGGAGGUGUUUGUUAUUCAUUAUGAUCCAUUUUUCAGUGUUUUUCCUGGCUUCCUUUCGCACUAAAAUUUUAUGUCGGACACGGGUUGCGAGUCAGGAUGCAUGCAGGAAGACACUGCGCAUCAGAUUUAUUUGCAUAUCUUAGUUUCA